GAUGAACGCUGGCGGCGUGCCUAAUACAUGCAAGUCGAGCGAACAGACGAGGAGCUUGCUCCUCUGACGUUAGCGGCGGGCGGGUGAGUAACACGUGGAUAACCUCCCUAUAAGACUGGGAUAACUUCGGGAAACCGGAGCUAAUACCGGAUAAUAUAUUGCACCGCAUGGUUCAAUAGUGAAAGACGGUUUUGCUGUCACUUAUAGAUGGAUCCGCGCCGGAUUGGCUAGUUGGUAAGGUAACGGCUUACCAAGGCAACGAUGCGUAGCCGACCUGAGAGGGUGAUCGGCCACACUGGAACUGAGACACGGUCCAGACUCCUACGGGAGGCAGCAGUAGGGAAUCUUCCGCAAUGGGCGAAAGCCUGACGGAGCAACGCCGCGUGAGUGAUGAAGGUCUUCGGAUCGUAAAACUCUGUUAUUAGUGAAGAACAAAUGUGUAAGUAACUAUGCACGUCUUGACGGUACCUAAUCAGAAAGCCACGGCUAACUACGUG
rnacentral:rRNA from 1 species